rnacentral:rRNA from 1 species
CCUGGCUCAGGAUGAACGCUGACAGAAUGCUUAACACAUGCAAGUCGAUUCGAUUUACCUUCGGGUAUUGAGGAUGGCGGACGGGUGAGUAACGCGUAAGGAACUUGCCUCUUGGACUGGGACAACUGUUGGAAACGACAGCUAAUACCGGAUAUUAUGAGAUUCUCGCAUGGGAAACUUAUGAAAGCUAUAUGCGCCAAGAGAGAGCCUUGCGUUCCAUUAGCUAGUUGGUGGGGUAAUGGCCCACCAAGGCGACGAUGGAUAGCCGGCCUGAGAGGGUGAACGGCCACAAGGGGACUGAGACACGGCCCUUACUCCUACGGGAGGCAGCAGUGGGGAAUAUUGGACAAUGGGCCACAAGCCUGAUCCAGCAAUUCUGUGUGCACGAUGAAGGUCUUCGGAUCGUAAAGUGCUUUCAGUUGGGAAGAAGAAAGUGACGGUACCAACAGAAGAAGCGACGGCUAAAUACGUGCCAACAACCGCGGUAA